UUUCCCCAAACAUUCAAAACACCAAAAUCCCUAACACCCCUCUCACUCACCUCCCUCAUCACUCUCACUCUCGAUCUCUCUCCCGCUGCUCUCCCUCCCUCCCAUGAUGGAUCCGAUGGCUUUCAAGCCUGAAAACGCUGCGUUUGGAGCUCUGGUUUUCGUGUGAGCUUUGUGAGUGGAGUUCGUAAAAAUAGAGAGCCAUUUAUUGACUUAAAGCCUCCGGAGGAUUCAAGGAAAGAACCAAUGCCGCACUUUUGAGAAUCACAUAUUCCUAGUAAUGUGGUUUCAAUGUGCUUUUUAACUUGCUGUCUACAGGAUAUAAAGCGGAGAGAAGAUGCUAUUUCUAGAUCUGGCGUCCCUGAUGAUGAUAAAAAUUGGCCUCCAUUUUUUCCCAAUUAUUCAUCAUGAUAUAGCUAAUGAAAUACCAGUUCAUGCUCAAAGACUACAGUAUUUGGCUUUUGCAAGUUGGUUAGGGGAAUCCUUGCAGCAAUCGAUGUCUUCAAUGACCAUGUAUUGGUUGGGAUAUUCUACUUAGUUGGCUUUGGCUUGUUUUGCUUGGAGUCGCUUCUACUUAGUUCAUGCUCAAAGGCUGCAGUAUUUUGUAUUUUUAUGCUGCCUCCCAUUUUUGCUUGCCAUACUGCUAAUUUUUCUCUAAAUGUUGUCUAGAUCCGAAAUUCCCAUGUUAGGCACCAGUUGUGUUUUUGCUUGGCUAUAAUAUUCCUUAAAAACCAUUCAUCGUAGCCUGCAGCAAAUAUCUGAUGCUCUUGUAGUGCUGUUUGUGCAGGUAUAGUUCUUUGUGUUGUUUUCAAACGAAAAGACUCUAUCCGACGGCUUUUUGGUUGCUAAGAAAUUACAAACUUUAAUGACUGUCUUGUAAUAGUGUGAAUUUUUGGGUUUUACGAUCUGUUUGAUUGCUGAGAAUAUGAAAUUGUGAUUUUUAUAGUCUUACUUUUCAGAAAAUUUUAUGUAUA